AAAUUGAAGAGUUUGAUCAUGGCUCAGAUUGAACGCUGGCGGCAGGCCUAACACAUGCAAGUCGAACGGUAACAGGAAGAAGCUUGCUUCUUUGCUGACGAGUGGCGGACGGGUGAGUAAUGUCUGGGAAACUGCCUGAUGGAGGGGGAUAACUACUGGAAACGGUAGCUAAUACCGCAUAACGUCGCAAGACCAAAGAGGGGGACCUUCGGGCCUCUUGCCAUCGGAUGUGCCCAGAUGGGAUUAGCUAGUAGGUGGGGUAACGGCUCACCUAGGCGACGAUCCCUAGCUGGUCUGAGAGGAUGACCAGCCACACUGGAACUGAGACACGGUCCAGACUCCUACGGGAGGCAGCAGUGGGGAAUAUUGCACAAUGGGCGCAAGCCUGAUGCAGCCAUGCCGCGUGUAUGAAGAAGGCCUUCGGGUUGUAAAGUACUUUCAGCGGGGAGGAAGGGAGUAAAGUUAAUACCUUUGCUCAUUGACGUUACCCGCAGAAGAAGCACCGGCUAACUCCGUGCCAGCAGCCGCGGUAAUACGGAGGGUGCAAGCGUUAAUCGGAAUUACUGGGCGUAAAGCGCACGCAGGCGGUUUGUUAAGUCAGAUGUGAAAUCCCCGGGCUCAACCUGGGAACUGCAUCUGAUACUGGCAAGCUUGAGUCUCGUAGAGGGGGGUAGAAUUCCAGGUGUAGCGGUGAAAUGCGUAGAGAUCUGGAGGAAUACCGGUGGCGAAGGCGGCCCCCUGGACGAAGACUGACGCUCAGGUGCGAAAGCGUGGGGAGCAAACAGGAUUAGAUACCCUGGUAGUCCACGCCGUAAACGAUGUCGACUUGGAGGUUGUGCCCUUGAGGCGUGGCUUCCGGAGCUAACGCGUUAAGUCGACCGCCUGGGGAGUACGGCCGCAAGGUUAAAACUCAAAUGAAUUGACGGGGGCCCGCACAAGCGGUGGAGCAUGUGGUUUAAUUCGAUGCAACGCGAAGAACCUUACCUGGUCUUGACAUCCACAGAACUUUCCAGAGAUGGAUUGGUGCCUUCGGGAACUGUGAGACAGGUGCUGCAUGGCUGUCGUCAGCUCGUGUUGUGAAAUGUUGGGUUAAGUCCCGCAACGAGCGCAACCCUUAUCCUUUGUUGCCAGCGGUCCGGCCGGGAACUCAAAG
rnacentral:rRNA from 1 species